rnacentral:rRNA from 1 species
UACGAAGGGGGCUAGCGUUGUUCGGAUUUACUGGGCGUAAAGCGCGUGUAGGCGGGUUUUUAAGUUGGGGGUGAAAUCCCGGAGCUCAACUCCGGAACUGCCUUCAAGACUGGAAACCUGGAGCAUGUCAGAGGCGAGUGGAAUUGCGAGUGUAGAGGUGAAAUUCGUAGAUAUUCGCAGGAACACCAGUGGCGAAGGCGACUCGCUGGGACAUUGCUGACGCUGAGACGCGAAAGCGUGGGGAGCAAGCAGG